AUGGAGUUCACGGAGGCAGAGAGCAACAUGAAUGAUCUUGUCUCAGAGUACCAACAAUACCAAGACGCAACUGCAGAUGAAGAAGGCGAGUACGAGGAUGAGGAAGAAGGAGAAUACCAACAAGAGGAGGAGUACUAGCGCGUAUUCCCUUUAAAAACCUAUCUAGUCAAAUUUGUUUUUAUUAAGGAAGCCUCAACUACCAGUUGCAGGUUUUCUUAAUGCUUGUAUUGACAAACUCUGGAUCUUGUUGACUUAUCGUGUGCUGUUUUUGUACUUUAAUUUGUUUCGGUCUUUCUAUUUCCUUCCCUCUCUAGUUUGAUCGAUAUUCCAUUAAUCCAACGUCUGGGCAAUGUUUUAUACGUUUUAGAAUAUACUAAUAUUGGCCAAAGUUAUAUAUAUAUGUAUAUGAAAUAUAUUAUUAUAAAAAUAUUCUAAAAAGAACAAUAUCAUUGAAAAGUCUAACAAGUUCGAAUAGUUAAGUUUCACUUGCGGAUUUACAAUAAUCAAUUUACAUAAGGGGAAUUUUUAGAUCAUACCAAGCCAUUUUUAAGGCUUCUCGCCAUCUCCAACAUCGAGCUUUCUCCCUAAUAAUUUUUUAUUUUUAUUAUUUUACCAUCGAAUCGUAAUAUUCUAUUCGUCUACUCAUUCAUCUUUCAUUUCGGCUGCGCAUUCUCGUAAUUUCAGUUUGAUCAAUAAAUGGUUUUGUAGAAGUAAAUGCAGAGAAAGAAACUCUGGUGAAGAAAGCAAGUCACCCUUGUUCCCUACAAUGGUCAAUGCCUCAAUGGACACGCAAAAAUAACACAAAUCAUCUAGUUCUUCAUCUUCUGAAACUAACAUUCAAUUGUGCUGGAUUGUUGUAUGUGCUUUAGAUUCACGUUUUUGUGUACUUAAUUUUCUACUUUACGUUUAUUUUUGUAGGACAAUAGUCAAUAAAUAAUGCACUCUUGUGUUGAAUACUUUGCGUAUUCGCUACAUAACCAAAAGGUGAUUAGCAAAGUAGAUCGAAAAAUCCGGUUUCACGUUUCCCAUCAUCGCCUGUCCCGUCGUUUUUCCUGAUCAGAGACGACACGCAAUGCUUGGCUUCUACGCUACACACUCUUGUUGAGAAUGCUGAUGAGUGCAUGGUUCUUGAUAACGAGGCCUUGUAUGAUAUUUGCUUCAGGACUCUUAAGCUCACUACCCCCAGCUGUAUGUCCUACUCUUCCUGAAUCUUUUGAUCUGUUAAGAGUUCUAUUUAUCUUUGUGAACUUGAUUUGGCCAUUUUAUCUUAUAGCAUUUCUAUUUUGCAAAUUUUCCACUGCAUUCAUGCUUUCAUCUCUGUUACAUAUUUGUUUUGUUACUGUUUCUUGUGCUCCAUCCUUGUCUCUCUUUUGUGUAGUUGGUGAUUUGAACCAUUUGAUAUCUGCCACAAUGUCUGGUGUCACAUGCUGUCUGAGAUUCCCUGGUCAACUUAACUCUGACCUCCGUAAGCUUGCGGUCAAUCUGAUCCCAUUCCCUCGUCUUCACUUCUUCAUGGUGGGUUUUGCUCCUCUCACCUCAAGAGGCUCUCAGCAGUACCGCUCCCUCACUGUCCCUGAACUCACCCAGCAAAUGUGGGACUCCAAGAACAUGAUGUGUGCUGCUGACCCAAGACACGGCCGCUACCUCACAGCCUCCGCCAUGUUCCGUGGCAAGAUGAGCACAAAGGAAGUCGAUGAGCAGAUGCUGAACGUGCAGAACAAGAACUCUUCCUACUUUGUUGAGUGGAUCCCCAACAAUGUGAAAUCAACAGUCUGUGACAUCCCACCUACGGGUCUGAAGAUGGCUUCCACUUUCAUUGGGAACUCAACAUCGAUCCAAGAGAUGUUCAGGCGUGUGAGUGAGCAGUUCACAGCUAUGUUCAGGAGGAAGGCUUUCUUGCAUUGGUACACUGGCGAAGGAAUGGACGAGAUGGAGUUCACGGAGGCAGAGAGCAACAUGAAUGAUCUUGUCUCAGAGUACCAACAAUACCAAGACGCAACUGCAGAUGAAGAAGGCGAGUACGAGGAUGAGGAAGAAGGAGAAUACCAACAAGAGGAGGAGUACUAGCGCGUAUUCCCUUUAAAAACCUAUCUAGUCAAAUUUGUUUUUAUUAAGGAAGCCUCAACUACCAGUUGCAGGUUUUCUUAAUGCUUGUAUUGACAAACUCUGGAUCUUGUUGACUUAUCGUGUGCUGUUUUUGUACUUUAAUUUGUUUCGGUCUUUCUAUUUCCUUCCCUCUCUAGUUUGAUCGAUAUUCCAUUAAUCCAACGUCUGGGCAAUGUUUUAUACGUUUUAGAAUAUACUAAUAUUGGCCAAAGU
rnacentral:lncRNA from 1 species